GAUGAACGCUAGCUACAGGCUUAACACAUGCAAGUCGAGGGGCAGCAUAAAAUCAGCUUGCUGAUUUGAUGGCGACCGGCGCACGGGUGAGUAACACGUAUCCAGCCUGGCCUUUACUCAGGGAUAGCCUUUCGAAAGAAAGAUUAAUACCUGAUGGCAUAAAUUUACCGCAUGGUUGAUUUAUUAAAGAUUUAUUGGUAAAGGAUGGGGAUGCGUUCCAUUAGCUUGUUGGUAAGGUAACGGCUUACCAAGGCAUCGAUGGAUAGGGGUUCUGAGAGGAAGGUCCCCCACACUGGAACUGAGACACGGUCCAGACUCCUACGGGAGGCAGCAGUGAGGAAUAUUGGUCAAUGGGCGGAAGCCUGAACCAGCCAAGUCGCGUGAAGGAUGACUGCCCUAUGGGUUGUAAACUUCUUUUAUAGGGGAAUAAAAAGUGGGACGUGUCCUAUAUUGUAUGUACCCUAUGAAUAAGCAUCGGCUAACUCCGUGCCAGCAGCC
rnacentral:rRNA from 1 species